rnacentral:tRNA from 1 species
ACUUAUAUAGUUUAUAAAAACAAUACAUUUUCAAUGUAAAAUUAGGUUCGCCUUUUAAGUA